rnacentral:rRNA from 1 species
UACGUAGGGUGCAAGCGUUGUCCGGAAUUAUUGGGCGUAAAGGGCUCGUAGGCGGUUUGUCGCGUCGGGAGUGAAAACACCGGGCUUAACUCGGUGCUUGCUUUCGAUACGGGCAGACUGGAGGUAUGCAGGGGAGAACGGAAUUCCUGGUGUAGCGGUGAAAUGCGCAGAUAUCAGGAGGAACACCGGUGGCGAAGGCGGUUCUCUGGGCAUUACCUGACGCUGAGGAGCGAAAGUGUGGGGAGCGAACAGG